AAAAUUCGAAGAAUGGAAACAGGCUAGUCUUUUCAUCCAUUUACAGGGUGUCUUCAAAUCCUUGUAAAACGUGUGGUUCUGAGACGCUACAAACAAGUAAUAUGACUGAACCCUAAACAUACACUGCAGAAGAAGAAGAAAAAAGGCGGAGCACUAAAAGCACCAGGGAAUAUUGAAGAGAGCAAGCCACAUACAGUCGGCCUCCAAAGCCUCAGGAGAACUAACAGCCUUAAGGAAGCUUCAUCCUAAGUAGAAAUAACCUUCAGAACGUCUUCCUGAUUU
rnacentral:misc_RNA from 1 species